ACUUUUAGCCAUACCAUGGGCGAAAAGCAGGUGAUUGCAUGUUUCGUGCUUUUCACAUCGGUGACAUCGCUAGAUGGUUUAUUUAGAUGUGGACCUGCCUGUUCAAAAGAACUAGACAUCAGAAAGGCAUCUGACUGUUGCGAAGGUUAAGGGACUGUUUAAAAAACAAGACAAACAAGUGAUGCAGAUCUUCAUCCGAGAAAAAGAACUCUGAAACCCUCCAGCUGCUCGGUCAUCUACCCUUUUAUGACCUCCGUGUUUGGGACGCAUUCGUUCGAACCGGCCCUCACGAAAAAUGCAUUACGCUUUUCAGAAAGGUAACGGGUAGAGGGCACGGUAUUUAUGUACCGAAGUGCCAACACAUUCACAAGAAUAAAUAAAAUGUUAGA
rnacentral:lncRNA from 1 species